rnacentral:rRNA from 1 species
GUAGGGGGCAAGCGUUGUCCGGAUUUAUUGGGCGUAAAGAGCGUGUAGGCGGCCAGAUAGGUCAGUUGUGAAAACUCGAGGCUCAACCUCGAGACGUCGGUUGAAACCAUCUGGCUAGAGUCCGGAAGAGGAGAGUGGAAUUCCCGGUGUAGCGGUGAAAUGCGCAGAUAUCGGGAAGAACACCCGUGGCGAAGGCGGCUCUCUGGGACGGUACUGACGCUGAGACGCGAAAGCGUGGGGAGCGAACAGGAUUAGAUACCCUGGUAGUCCACGCCGUAAACGAUGGGUGCUAGGUGUGGGGGGUGUCGACUCCCCCCGUGCCGAAGCUAACGCAUUAAGCACCCCGCCUGGGGAGUACGGCCGCAAGGCUA